GGCUCAGGGGAGACCUUACUGCUCUGUACAACUGCCUGAAAGGAGGCUGUGAUGAGAUCAUUUUUCAUUCCAGCCUAAAGAGAGAGGAAUCAUCGAAGCACCAGAUUUGCAGCCUUGUUUCUUCCAGUUUUCAGAUCUUCUUGAAACUCUCCAUUUAUUGUGACAACACAUGAAGCAGCAGUUCCAAGGACAUCAUUGCUUUUGCCACCAUCACACCUGCAACUCCUUGAUCUCCUGCAUCAAAUACAAGAUGUUUUAAUAUCAAGGCCUUUGGAGAUAGGAUUUCACCCCUCCUGUCACUUCUCAUUCAUCAUCAUUGAUUUGACCUGGCUGCCAGUCAUCUCACACUCACUCUCAGGUGAUUCUUUGCUGCCUCAUCUCUUGGGCAGAGGCAUCCCAGAGAAGUCGAAGCAUCAACUCAAGUGCAGAGUUCUGCACACCAAAGCAAGUCUGCACUGUAUGCAAAGCAAUGCACGGAUGACAAUUCAUUUCAGCCUGAUGAGAGUUCAGGCAGAUCCCUUUGGCAUGUGUGUUGGAGGUGAGCUCACCCAGCUGAAUGGCUUCAGUCUAGCUGCAGAAGCACUGCAUCCAGCAAGGGGAGACACCAGCAAUAGCACGGCCAGGAAAGGAGGACUGAUAACAUGUCAUCAGGAGAUUUGUCUCACCCAAACAACAACGCCGUGGCACUGUCCUAGAAGAUACGUUCCUGUAGGGAGUUACUGCUAUGCCUCAAGCAAAAACAUGCCUUUAUUUUGUAAUAAUAAAUGCAGAUAAAUGCUUAAACUACA